UACGAAGGUGGCAAGCGUUGUUCGGAUUUACUGGGCGUAAAGGGCGCGUAGGCGGUUGGAUAAGCCCUCCGUGAAAUCUCCAGGCUUAACCUGGAAAGUGCAGAGGGGACUGUUCAGCUAGAGGAUGGGAGAGGAGCGCGGAAUUCCCGGUGUAGCGGUGAAAUGCGUAGAGAUCGGGAGGAAGGCCGGUGGCGAAGGCGGCGCUCUGGAACAUUUCUGACGCUGAGGCUCGAAAGCGUGGGGAGCAAACAGG
rnacentral:rRNA from 1 species